rnacentral:rRNA from 1 species
CCUACGGGAGGCAGCAGUGAGGAAUAUUGGUCAAUGGGCGCAAGCCUGAAGCAGCCAAGUCGCGUGAGGGAUGCCGGCCCUACGGAUUGUAAACCUCAUUUGCCGGGAAGCAACGGGCGUCACGUGUGUCACCACUCAGGGUACCCGCAGACCAAGCAUCGUCUCACACCGGUCCAGCGGCCGCGGUAAUACGGGGGAUGCGAGAGUUAUCCGGCUUUGUUGGUUUUAAAGGGUGCGUGGGCGGAUCGUUAGUUCAGUGUUCAAAGUGCGGGGCUAAACCCCGUCCCGCCCUUGAAACUGGCGGGCUGGAGUGGAAGAGAAGUAGGCGGAAUGCGUGGUGUAGCGGUGAAAUGCAUAGAUAUUACGCAGAACCCCGAUUGCGAAGGCAGCAUGCCGGCUUCCGACUGACGCUGAAGCACGAAAGCGUGGGGAUCGAACAGGAUUAGAUACCCUAGUAGUC